CCUACGUUGAAAAUGGACUAGACGAUACUGAUAAUAAUAAUGGUUUUAUGCAAAAUUGCAGUGCAACAGAUCACUCAACGGUUGCUGAGCAUGAAUUAACAUUUUUAGCGCUUGGAAUAGUUUCAACAUCCUAUGUUUAAUAUGGAUUAGAAGAUUGCAGUACAGCAGAUCUUUCAAGCCAUGAUGAAACAUGAAUUAUCGUUUUUAGCACUUGGGAAAU